GUGAGGUAACGGCUCACCAAGGCAUCGACGGGUAGCUGGUCUGAGAGGAUGAUCAGCCACACUGGAACUGAGACACGGUCCAGACUCCUACGGGAGGCAGCAGUGGGGAAUAUUGCACAAUGGGCGAAAGCCUGAUGCAGCAACGCCGCGUGCGGGAAGAAGGCCCUAGGGUUGUAAACCGCUUUCAGCAGGGAAGAAAAUGACGGUACCUGCAGAAGAAGGUGCGGCCAACUACGUGCCAGCAGCCGCGGUGACACGUAGGCACCAAGCGUUGUCCGGAUUUAUUGGGCGUAAAGAGCUCGUAGGCGGUUCAGUAAGUCGGGUGUGAAAACUCUGGGCUCAACCCAGAGACGCCACCCGAUACUGCUGUGACUUGAGUACGGUAGGGGAGCGGGGAAUUCCUGGUGUAGCGGUGAAAUGCGCAGAUAUCAGGAGGAACACCAGUGGCGAAGGCGCCGCUCUGGGCCGAAACUGGCGCUGAGGAGCGAAAGCGUGGGUAGCAAACAGGAUUAGAUACCCUGGUAGUCCACGCCGUAAACGUUGGGCACUAGGUGUGGGUCUCAACCAACGAGAUCCGCGCCGUCGCUAACGCAUUAAGUG
rnacentral:rRNA from 1 species